CGCAACAGUUCAAUCUCGGGCUAAUUUUUCCCACUUCGUCUCAUUAAAGGACAUUGGGUCCUAGGGUAGUUUGUACACGGUAUAAAUAUUUUCUAAACACAAUUUUUAAAGGGAUUCAACUUAGGAGAGUUUUGAAGAGUUACUAUGGCUUGAAGGCACACAAUUUCAUCAAUUCUCUUGUCAACAAUCCAUGCAAAAUUGGAGUUUGUACGUAAUAUUGUCUUUGAUAUUUUCUAUAUUCUUAAACUUAUAUACGAUGAAUUUCUCUAUAUCAAUGGAGUAGUUUAUCUCAGGGGUUUGACGGAUAUGGUAUUUUUAUUAUUAUUUUUGGAUUGAACUCUUGUUUGAUUAUUUUGCAUUAUUUGGGUUGGUUUAAUUUGGUGAGUAUUCUAAGUAAUUGAGAACGCUUCUUGAAUUAUUGGUUAAACCAAGUUAGGAGAAUAUCCAAGAGACGUUUUUCUAAAGACUAGUCCAUUAACAUGUUCUUGCAUAUUUUCAUAGUACUUCAUAUUGGUUUAUUUUAUAGAGUUUAGAUUUAAUCGAGAGAGGAAUCUUGACCUUACAUUUAAGCUAAUCAUCAAGUGAAUUCGCGAGAAUCAUUAGAACAUUAGAAGUGAAUUCAACCAGAGGUAAAUUUUGAAUAGCUAUCUUACACCUAUGAUGUCGUGACCCUUAUUUCUCAUACUUUUUACAAACUUUUUAGUUCAACACGCAUUCUCUGUGAUCAAGUCUAAUUAGCCAUAAUAUUAAUUUAGUAGUUAAUUAUAGUUAGUAAUUAAUCAAAUCAAGUGUUGACCAUCUUGAAUAGCAUAAAAUCAUUAGUAAUUGAACAUUACUUAAUUCUAAUUCAAGUGGAGACGAUAAUUUUACUAUACUAUCUUUAUCUAGCGAGCAUUGAUUUCGUGUUAUAUUUUUGUAACACUCCGUAAAUUUGGGUUGGGUGUGGACAUGUUAAAUGAGUAUCAAAUGUGACAUAUUAGACAUAUGAACUCCUAUCAGGAUGAGUAUGAGUUGAAAUAGUUGUUUUGGAAUCAAGACGGAGAGUGAGGUCCAUAAGAUUCGAUAAAAUCAAUUAAGUUUAUGGAAUGUCUUACUUCUAUCAGGAUUUCGUGAAAAUAUGUUGAGAAUUUGGGAUAACUUAAAACAUGAAAGUUGUAUCCCAUUAUACCUUCCUAAUGAAAUAUUAUGGAGCCCUAACGGACCUCUGUGAAAAAGGUUGUACGCAUUUUACUAGACAAUGUGCAGUCUGCGCACUCAUGUGCGCUCCCAACUGUUCUCGUGCGCGGCCACGCUUUUGUGGCAGUGUUACUGCCUUUGAUGAGCAUUCAGGUACAUGGUUGGGUCUUUAUAUGCGUGGGGGCGCACCCGGGAAGCCGUUUUAUAAGCCAUACUUCGCCCCACACACCCCAAACCACAAAAACUUGCUCUAGAAAGGGAAUCUCAAGAACCUAACGCUUCAAAGGUCCCUCCACCAUCCAAGAUAUUCGAUUGGGACAUCAUGGUUGAGAAAGAAACCUCAAAACUCAAGAGGAUUGAACGUCAAAAGAAGUUUCCUGUUGAAGUUGAUGUGAUCGACGGGAGGUGGAUUUGAAGAUGUACUUGCAUUCUGGUUAUAGCUACCUAUUGUUCAUGGUAGCUCUAGGCUUAUGAGAAAUCUAUUUAUGUAUUAUCCGGACAGAUGAUGUAUUUUUAUUUCACACCAGCAUUGUAAAUUCUAAUCUUAGAAGCUCAUGAUUUG